CCUACGGGAGGCAGCAGUGGGGAAUAUUGGACAAUGGGCGAAAGCCUGAUCCAGCAAUGCCGCGUGAGUGAUGAAGGCCUUAGGGUUGUAAAGCUCUUUUACCCGGGAUGAUAAUGACAGUACCGGGAGAAUAAGCUCCGGCUAACUCCGUGCCAGCAGCCGCGGUAAUACGGAGGGAGCUAGCGUUGUUCGGAAUUACUGGGCGUAAAGCGUACGUAGGCGGUUAUUCAAGUCAGAGGUGAAAGCCUGGAGCUCAACUCCAGAACUGCCUUUGAAACUAGGUAGCUAGAAUCUUGGAGAGGUUAGUGGAAUUCCGAGUGUAGAGGUGAAAUUCGUAGAUAUUCGGAAGAACACCAGUGGCGAAGGCGACUAACUGGACAAGUAUUGACGCUGAGGUACGAAAGCGUGGGGAGCAAACAGGAUUAGAUACCCUGGUAGUCCACGCCGUAAACGAUGAUAACUAGCUGUUCGGGCUCUACGAGCUUGAGUGGCGCAGCUAACGCAUUAAGUUAUCCGCCUGGGGAGUACGGUCGCAAGAUUAAAACUCAAAGGAAUUGACGG
rnacentral:rRNA from 1 species